rnacentral:sRNA from 1 species
CCCACACGGAGAUCCUCGCCGAAAGGACGUUCAGGCUCUUGGAUGACAACAUGGACCAGCUCAUCGAGUUCAAAGCAUUUGUGAGCUGCCUCGAUAUUAUGUAUAAUGGAGAAAUGAAUGAGAAGAUUAAACUAUUAUACAGGCUUCAUAUCCCUCCAGCACUCACUGAAAAUGACCGAGACAGCCAGUCGCCAUUGAAGAAUCCUCUGUUGUCAACGUCGAGACCCCUGGUUUUUGGGAAACCCAAUGGCACGUACCUCUUUUCAUUGUUUCUUUCUCCUGGGCAUACCACUGCAGUGGCGGGAGGCACCGGGGUUGCCCUCACCCCUCUUCUUGUAGCAGCCUUCUCUUUUCCCUUCGCCCAAUGAAUUAUCACCAAACUCAUUGCCUUUAGAGGCCAGAAAUGCUCUGAGUGGGGGUGUUGCUGGGUGGCUGCCCCUUGCCCCCACCACCAAGUUCCUUCCUCCUGUUUGCUGUUUCAUGGGUCCUCUUAGAGCAGAAGUCCCCCAGUUACCACCCACUGGCUCUCCAGGGGAAUCUCUUGCUUUCCAGUUUUGUACGGAAUUUGCUUAGUGGAAUUCCUCACCCCCUUGGUCCUCUCUCCUACAGUUUCCUUUUUGCUGUCACUGAAUUUAUUGAAAUUAAACCACAUAUUGUUUU